rnacentral:lncRNA from 1 species
UCGGUUUCAACAAAAAACUGGGCAGACAUUUGGCCUCUAAAUCUUUCAAUCUAGGUAUCAAAUGAAAGAUUUACGAGUCUAGUUUAAAAUGAAAUAAGUUUGGAAUAAAUCAAAGUUUCCAACAAGAACUUAUAGGCAGUUCAGUAACAAAAGGUUAGAAAUUACGAUCCCUGUUUUGCAGAAUUCGUAGGCUCAUUUGAAACAGAAGUUUGGACAGGAAAACUUACUCUGAAUUCUUAAAAUAAGUUAUCGAAAGAAAGGUUUAUGAGUCUAUAUUCAUAUCAAACAUGUUUUGUCCAAAUCAGAGGUCAAUGUAUAAAGUUAUAACCAUAAUAAGGUAAAAAGGUCAUAAUCUCGGAAGUUUCACAUAUUUAAAUCGUUACGUCUAAACAGGAGAUAUAUCAAAUGCAAGGCUCGAACAAUUCAAAGUUCCUCAUAUUCAAAGCAAAUGUAGAGAUAAAAUUACAGUAAGGAAAGAUCAGGACCACUUGCAAUAGGAAAGAUUAGAAAGCUUGCAAUAAGAAGGAUCAGAACACUUGCAAUAGGAAGGAUUGGAACACUCGCAAUAAAAAAGAUAACACUUGCAAAAGAAAAGAUAACACUUGCAGG